AAACAGAUGAGCGUGUGUGAAAGACAGAGAAUGCAGUGAGCGAAGUCGUUCCAUCACUGAAGCGGAACGGAAGCAGCCACAAUUUCUUUCUUUCUGCUAAGUUAGUGUGGAGUGCACACCGCAAAAGGCAAAGAACAUAUUAAAAAAAUUAAUUGACGUGUUGGCGUAAAAGAAGAACAAUUUGCAGAGACGUUUUUCCUCCUUCUUCCACAAAGCUUCUUCUUCCACAAAGCUUCUUCAUCCACAAAGCUUCUUCUUUCACAAAGGUUGUUCUCGUUGAUAUUUGGUGUGGGUAGCAAUCAGAGCGAAGAAGUCGAGAGUGGAUUGGGUUGUUGGACGUCGUUGGUUUGCCGGAAAUUGGUCGUUACCGUUGGGCACAUUGCUUGGUCGUAGUGUUCGUCGCCGUCUUUUUUCUUCAUUGAAGGCCAUUCACAUAACCAAUCGUUGCCUGCUAGGUUUUCGUCAAAAACCCCUCUUUCAAGCCUGUUAUUCCCGAAAUGGUUAGUUGAUGAAGGUAAGUGAAGAUAAGCUUUUUAUUCCAUACUCGAACAAGUACUCUGUAUUUGAAAUGAUUGUUUUAUUUUUAACAAGAAUGUGCAGAUUAAUCGUCCUGACAUCGGCGUUGAAGUUGUGUUCAUUGUCAUCUAACAGGGCUUCCAUAGUAGAAUCAAGGAAUUUUUUGACUUCGUUGUUAGUACAUUCUUCAUUUACGGUUGAACAUGGUGUGUUUCGUUGUUGUUUAGACAUAAAUAUUUGUGUUCUUUGUUUUACAUUUGGGAUUGUAUUUAAUUAGUGUGGUUUAAUAAUGGAGUAUUUUGUGAUUCCUUAA